rnacentral:rRNA from 1 species
AUGCACUCCAGUUACAACAAAAAGAUGCCUAGAUCAAAAUCUUCACUAUUGUUCUCCGUUGACAGCGAGCAGUGCAGGUUGCUCUUCAUUGCAGGUCGGUUGGAUCAUUGGUGCAGUACCCAAAUCGCUAGUGUUUUCGAUGCUACUCGCACACAUCACCGGUGGUUCACCGGAGCACCCCCUCGCAGCUCUCUCCUUCCCCAACAUGUAGUUCACCGGCGACGACCUUUAGUUUGUUUUGGUUGCUGUCGAUGCCAUCCCCACUGUAGUACAGUGUGCAUCAUGAUGGUUUUGUGUGUAUGUGUCUUUUGCAUGGUAGCCGACUGGGGGCCUACGUUCCUGUACAAUGUAAAAAUAGCAUGA